rnacentral:rRNA from 1 species
UACGUAGGUGGCGAGCGUUGUCCGGAUUUAUUGGGCGUAAAGCGCCCGCAGGCGGCCUGUCAAGUUUCAGGUGAAAUCUCCCGGCUCAACCGGGAGGGUGCGCCGAAAACUGGGAGACUAGAGUGCGGGAUGGGAGAGUAGAAUUCCUGGUGUAGCGGUGAAAUGCGUAGAUAUCAGGAGGAAUACCGGUGGUGUAGACGGCUCUCUGGACCGCCACUGACGCUGAGACACGAAAGCGUGGGUAGCAAACAGG